rnacentral:rRNA from 1 species
GCAGCUAUGCCACCUGCAGGUCAGAGUAGGUAAUGCAUCUCAAGCUAAGCAGGUUUGGGCCUGGCCAGUACUUGGAUAGGAGACCAAAUAGGAAAGCUGGGUUGCUGCUGAGA